ACCGGCGCACGGGUGAGUAACACGUAUGCAACCUGCCCCUGUCAGGGGGACAACCCGCCGAAAGGCGGGCUAAACCCGCGUACAUGCCACCGGGGCAUCCCGGAGGCAGGAAAGGCUUCGGCCGGACAGGGAUGGGCAUGCGGCGCAUUAGGCAGUAGGCGGGGUAACGGCCCACCUAACCGACGAUGCGUAGGGGUUCUGAGAGGAAGGUCCCCCACACUGGUACUGAGACACGGACCAGACUCCUACGGGAGGCAGCAGUGAGGAAUAUUGGUCAAUGGUCGGGAGACUGAACCAGCCAAGCCGCGUGAGGGAGGAAGGUACAGAGUAUCGUAAACCUCUUUUGUCAGGGAACAAAGACUGGGACGCGUCCCCGGAUGAGUGCACCUGAAGAAAAAGCAUCGGCUAACUCCGUGCCAGCAGCCGCGGUAAUACGGAGGAUGCGAGCGUUAUCCGGAUUUAUUGGGUUUAAAGGGUGCGCGGCGGUCUGUUAAGUCAGCGGUCAAAGCCCGGGGCUCAACCCCGGCCCGCCGUUGAAACUGGCAGUCUCGAGUUGGAGAGAAGUAUGCGGAAUGCGCGGUGUAGCGGUGAAAUGCAUAGAUAUCGCGCAGAACUCCGAUUGCGAAGGCAGCAUGCCGGCUCCACACUGACGCCGAGGCACGAAAGCGUGGGUAUCGAACAGGAUUAGAUACCCUGGUAGUCCACGCAGUAAACGAUGAAUGCUG
rnacentral:rRNA from 1 species